rnacentral:lncRNA from 1 species
UGCUCAAAUUUUAUAGUUACACAGACACCCCAUGUAUGUAAAUAUCCCAAACCCUUCCUCUUCCACACAUUAGAAAUCCUCAUCUCCAAGCACCUUAGUUGCCGUCACCUUCUUCAACCUUCCUGCAAGCAUCUGCAACAAUCCACCACCUUUGAUUACUUUCUUCUGCGAUCAGCUGCCAGCCCGCUGCCUCCUUUAACCUCCA